UUUAUAGAGGCCUUGGGCCUAGAGUUUCUUGGGAAUGAUUAUGGCUCACUCAAUCAAUGAUGGACCUUUGAAUCCAUAUUUCCUAUGGAGUAUUGGACCGGCUACUGAACCUGACUUCUCUCUGCCCAAGGAACGUCUUUUCUCAUGUUUUCCCAUGUAUGGGCAAUAGAAAAGGACUUGGGACGAGGCGAUCCUCCUUGGAAGCGGCAUAUGAUCGCCGCCUUUCCU
rnacentral:lncRNA from 1 species